rnacentral:rRNA from 1 species
UGGGGAAUAUUUGGCAAUGGGCGAAAGCUUGACCAAGCAAUACCGCGUGAAGGAUGACGGCCUUAGGGUUGUAAACUUCUUUUCUGAUUGAUGAAAUUCUGACAGUAUUUCAGGAAUAAGCAUCGGCUAACUUCGUGCCAGCAGCCGCGGUAAUACGGGGGAUGCAAGCGCUAUCCGGAUUUAUUGGGCGUAAAGCGUUCGUAGAUGGUUGUUUAAGUUUAAUGUUAAAUUGCAAGGCUUAACCUUGAACCUGCAUUAAAAACUGAACGACUUUAGUACAAUAAGGGUAGAGGGAAUUUCCAGUGUAGCGGUGAAAUGCGUAGAUAUUGGAAAGAACGCCUAUAGCGAAAGCACUCUACUGGGUUGUUACUGAAAUUGAGGAACGAAAGCUAGGGGAGCAAAGC